rnacentral:rRNA from 1 species
AUUGAACGCUGGCGGCAGGCCUAACACAUGCAAGUCGAGCGGAUGAAGGGAGCUUGCUCCUGGAUUCAGCGGCGGACGGGGGAGUAAUGCCUAGGAAUCUGCCUGGUAGGGGGGGAUAAAGGCCGGAAACUGGCGCUAAUACCGCAUACGUCCUGAGGGAGAAAGUGGGGGAUCUUCGGACCUCACGCUAUCAGAUGAGACUAGGUCGGAUGAGCUAGUUGGUGGGGUAAAGGCCUACCAAGGCGACGAUCCGUAACUGGUCUGAGAGGAUGAUCAGUACCACUGGACCUGAGACACGGUCCACACUCCUACGGGCGGCAGCAGUGGGGCAUAUUGGACAAUGGGCGAAAGCCUGAUCCAGCCAUGCCGCGUGUGUGAAGAAGGUCUUCGGAUUGUAAAGCACUUUAAGUUGGGAGGAAGGGCAGUAAGUUAAUACCUUGCUGUUUUGACGUUACCAACAGAAUAAGCACCGGCUAACUUCGUG